CGAGAUCAUUAGCGAACAAGUGCCAUGCCAGUAUCAGCUCACUGAAUGAACAGUGACAGUGGAGCAGACAAGUCACUCUCUAGUUACUCUCCCCAAGAGAGCCCUUCACUUCCAUUCACACAACCUGAACAAAGGCGGCUAAAUUAGUCCCUGGACAACUGUCUUGGGGCUUUUUUUGGGGGGGGAGCCCGCUCAGGCGGACUGAGUGCAGAAUGACUUCCUUGUGAGCUCUACCACCGGCCUAGAUUAGACAUUUCCGCCUGCCUUUUUAAUCACUUGUUAAUUAGCAGCACGGCGACUGGAUGAAGUCAUUAAGGGGUUCACUGGCAGAAGAAAUUAAUCAACACCUCAGAGCUUGUUUAAUAUGCUGAAAUCAAUACAGCCAUUGUUUCUCUUCGGGGUCUUUUAUUGAAUUUCCUUCUUUCAAGGCCCAGACUGAGAUAUCACAACUCCAUGCCAUCACUUUUGAUGUUUUUCUCCCUUUCUGGUCCUGGUUGCAGUUUAAACAGAGACAAUACCUGCUGCUCAUCUGUGUGGUGUUCCCAAACCAGCUGAGGGACAUAAUCUCUCCAGUGUGUCCUGGGUCUAUCCUGGGGCUUUCUCCUGGUAGGAGACGUAGCAGACCUUUCAGUAUUCUGCAUAUCACAGAAAUGGCAGGAUGACAUCAAGUGCUAUUGUUUUGUCAGAGCGACUGGCAUCUCUUGGAAAUGCACAAGCUGUCCUUUGACGUCGUUGCCUGGACACACC